rnacentral:rRNA from 1 species
ACUCCGUACGGGAGGCAGCAGUGGGGAAUCUUAGACAAUGGGGGGAAACCCUGAUCUAGCCAUGCCGCGUGGACGAUGAAGGCCUUAGGGGUUGUAAAAGUCCUUUCAGCUGGGAAGAUAAUGACGGUACCAGCAGAAGAAGCCCCGGCUAACUCCGUGCCAGCAGCCGCGGUAAUACGGAGGGGCUAGCGUUGUUCGGAAUUACUGGGCGUAAAGCGCACGUAGGCGGACUAUUAAGUCAGGGUGGAAAUCCCGGGGCUCAACCCCGGAACUGCCUUUUGAUACUGGUAGUCUAGAGUUCGAGAGAGGGUGAGUGGAAACUCCGAGUGUAGAGGUGAAAUUUCGUAGAGUAUUCGGAAGAACACCAGUGGCGAAGGCGGCUCACUGGCUCGAUACUGACGCUGAGGUGCGAAAGCGUGGGGGAGCAAACAGGA